rnacentral:rRNA from 1 species
UGGGUAGCCGCAGCGAGCGCACCUCACUUUUAGUUGCCAUCAUUAGUUGGGCACUCUGAAAGAACUGCCAGUGAUAAGCUGGAGGAAGGUGGGGAUGACGUCAAGUCCUCAUGGCCCUUACGUGUUGGGCUACACACGUGCUACAAUGGCAUCUACAACAGGAAGCAAAACGGCAACGUUAAGCAAAUCCCGAAAAGAUGCCUCAGUUCGGAUUGCACUCUGCAACUCGAGUGCAUGAAGCUGGAAUUACUAGUAAUCGUGGAUCAGCGUGCCACGGUGAAUGCGUUCCCGGGUCUUGUACACACCGCCCGUCACACCAUGGGAGUUGGUUCUACCUUAAGGCAAGGUUUUAAACCCUUGACCACGGUAUAGUCAGCGACUGGGGUGAAGUCGUAACAAGGUAGCCGUAGGGGAACCUGCGGCUGGAUUACCUCCUUUCU